rnacentral:rRNA from 1 species
AAUUAAGGAAAAUUUGAUAUCGGGGCUACGUCCCGAUCCUCCCACCCUUUGUAUACCUACCUCUGUUGCUUUGGCGGGCCGCGGUCUUCCGCGGCCGCCCCCCGAUUUUGGGGGGUGGCUAGUGCCCGCCAGAGGACUAUCAAACUCCAGUCAGUAAACGUUGCAGUCUGAAAAAAAUAUUAAAUAAACUAAAACUUUCAACAACGGAUCUCUUGGUUCUGGCAUCGAUGAAGAACGCAGCGAAAUGCGAUAAGUAAUGUGAAUUGCAGAAUUCAGUGAAUCAUCGAAUCUUUGAACGCACAUUGCGCCCCUUGGGAUUCCGGGGGGCAUGCCUGUUCGAGCGUCAUUUCAACCCUCAAGCUCUGCUUGGUAUUGGGCACCGUCCUUUGCGGGCGCGCCUCAAAGACCUCGGCGGGGGCGUCUUGCCUCAAACGUAGUAGAAUACACCUCGCUUCGGAGCGUAAGGCGUCGCCCGCCGGACGAACCUUCUGAACUUUUCUCAAGGUUGACCUCGGAUCAGGUAGGGAUACCCGCUGAACUUAAGCAUAUCAAUAAAAAGAUCGAUACGAGUUGAUUGGGCUCCGUCCCGAUCCUCCCACCCUUUGUAUACCUACCUCUGUUGCUUUGGCGGGCCGGGUUCUUCCGCGGCCGCCCCCGAUUUUGGGGGGUGGCUAGUGCCGCCAGAGGAACUAUCAAACUCCAGUCAGUAAACGUUGCAGUCUG